rnacentral:rRNA from 1 species
GAUGAACGCUAGCGGGAGGCCUAACACAUGCAAGCCGAGCGGUAUUGUUUCUUCGGAAAUGAGAGAGCGGCGUACGGGUGCGUAACACGUGUGCAACCUGCCUUUAUCUGGGGGAUAGCCUUUCGAAAGGAAGAUUAAUACUCCAUAAUAUAUUGAACGGCAUCGUUUAAUAUUGAAAGCUCCGGCGGAUAGAGAUGGGCACGCGCAAGAUUAGCUAGUUGGUGAGGUAACGGCUCACCAAGGCGAUGAUCUUUAGGGGGCCUGAGAGGGUGAUCCCCCACACUGGUACUGAGACACGGACCAGACUCCUACGGGAGGCAGCAGUGAGGAAUAUUGGUCAAGGGGUGCAAGCCUGAACCAGCCAUCCCGCGUGAAGGAAGACUGCCCUAUGGGUUGUAAACUUCUUUUGUAUAGGGAUAAACCUACCCUCGUGAGGGUAGCUGAAGGUACUAGACGAAUAAGCACCGGCUAACUCCGUG